AACUCCGCAGUUAAGCGUGCUUGGGCGAGAGUAGUACUAGGAUGGGUGACCUCCUGGGAAGUCCUCGUGUUGCACCCCUCCAAUUUUAUAUCUCAUUAAAUUUUUUUUCUAUUUUUUUAUAUCUCAUCGUUUAACUAAUUAGUUAUUUACGGAAUAAAUCACUCGAAACGUUAUUUGGUCGUAUUUAAAUUCAAAUUCGAGGCUCAAGCGCGAUCAGGGGUAGCCUUUAUAUAAAUAGAAUGCGCAAGAAUUGACGGGUGCGAUCAUACUAGCACUAAUGCACCGGAUCCCAUCAGAACUCCGCAGUUAAGCGUGCUUGGGCGAGAGUAGUACUAGGAUGGGUGACCUCCUGGGAAGUCCUCGUGUUGCACCCCUCCAAUUUUAUAUCUCAUUAAAUUUUUUUCUAUUUUUUUUAUAUCUCAUCGUUUAACUAAUUAGUUAUUUACGGAAUAAAUCACUCGAAACGUUAUUUGGUCGUAUUUAAAUUCAAAUUCGAGGCUCAAGCGCGAUCAGGGGUAGCCUUUAUAUAAAUAGAAUGCGCAAGAAUUGACGGGUGCGAUCAUACCAGCACUAAUGCACCGGAUCCCAUCAGAACUCCGCAGUUAAGCGUGCUUGGGCGAGAGUAGUACUAGGAUGGGUGACCUCUGGGAAGUCCUCGUGUUGCACCCCUCCAAUUUUAUAUCUCAUUAAAUUUUUUUCUAUUUUUUUUAUAUCUCAUCGUUUAACUAAUUAGUUAUUUACGGAAUAAAUCACUCGAAACGUUAUUUGGUCGUAUUUAAAUUCAAAUUCGAGGCUCAAGCGCGAUCAGGGGUAGCCUUUAUAUAAAUAGAAUGCGCAAGAAUUGACGGGUGCGAUCAUAUCAGCACUAAUGCACCGGAUCCCAUCAGAACUCCGCAGUUAAGCGUGCUUGGGCGAGAGUAGUACUAGGAUGGGUGACCUCCUGGGAAGUCCUCGUGUUGCACCCCUCCAAUUUUAUAUCUCAUUAAAUUUUUUUCUAUUUUUUUUAUAUCUCAUCGUUUAACUAAUUAGUUAUUUACGGAAUAAAUCACUCGAAACGUUAUUUGGUCGUAUUUAAAUUCAAAUUCGAGGCUCAAGCGCGAUCAGGGGUAGCCUUUAUAUAAAUAGAAUGCGCAAGAAUUGACGGGUGCGAUCAUACCAGCACUAAUGCACCGGAUCCCAUCAGAACUCCGCAGUUAAGCGUGCUUGGGCGAGAGUAGUACUAGGAUGGGUGACCUCCUGGGAAGUCCUCGUGUUGCACCCCUCCAAUUUUAUAUCUCAUUAAAUUUUUUUCUAUUUUUUUUAUAUCUCAUCGUUUAACUAAUUAGUUAUUUACGGAAUAAAUCACUCGAAACGUUAUUUGGUUGUAUUUAAAUUCAAAUUCGAGGCUCAAGCGCGAUCAGGGGUAGCCUUUAUAUAAAUAGAAUGCGCAAGAAUUGACGGGUGCGAUCAUACCAGCACUAAUGCACCGGAUCCCAUCAGAACUCCGCAGUUAAGCGUGCUUGGGCGAGAGUAGUACUAGGAUGGGUGACCUCCUUGGGAAGUCCUCGUGUUGCACCCCUCCAAUUUUAUAUCUCAUUAAAUUUUUUUUCUAUUUUUUUUAUAUCUCAUCGUUUAACUAAUUAGUUAUUUACGGAAUAAAUCACUCGAAACGUUAUUUGGUCGUAUUUAAAUUCAAAUUCGAGGCUCAAGCGCGAUCAGGGGUAGCCUUUAUAUAAAUAGAAUGCGCAAGAAUUGACGGGUGCGAUCAUAUCAGCACUAAUGCACCGGAUCCCAUCAGAACUCCGCAGUUAAGCGUGCUUGGGCGAGAGUAGUACUAGGAUGGGUGACCUCCUGGGAAGUCCUCGUGUUGCACCCCUCCAAUUUUAUAUCUCAUUAAAUUUUUUUCUAUUUUUUUUAUAUCUCAUCGUUUAACUAAUUAGUUAUUUACGGAAUAAAUCACUCGAAACGUUAUUUGGUCGUAUUUAAAUUCAAAUUCGAGGCUCAAGCGCGAUCAGGGGUAGCCUUUAUAUAAAUAGAAUGCGCAAGAAUUGACGGGUGCGAUCAUACCAGCACUAAUGCACCGGAUCCCAUCAGAACUCCGCAGUUAAGCGUGCUUGGGCGAGAGUAGUACUAGGAUGGGUGACCUCCUGGGAAGUCCUCGUGUUGCACCCCUCCAAUUUUAUAUCUCAUUAAAUUUUUUUUCUAUUUUUUUUAUAUCUCAUCGUUUAACUAAUUAGUUAUUUACGGAAUAAAUCACUCGAAACGUUAUUUGGUCGUAUUUAAAUUCAAAUUCGAGGCUCAAGCGCGAUCAGGGGUAGCCUUUAUAUAAAUAGAAUGCGCAAGAAUUGACGGGUGCGAUCAUACCAGCACUAAUGCACCGGAUCCCAUCAGAACUCCGCAGUUAAGCGUGCUUGGGCGAGAGUAGUACUAGGAUGGGUGACCUCCUGGGAAGUCCUCGUGUUGCACCCCUCCAAUUUUAUAUCUCAUUAAAUUUUUUUUCUAUUUUUUUUAUAUCUCAUCGUUUAACUAAUUAGUUAUUUACGGAAUAAAUCACUCGAAACGUUAUUUGGUCGUAUUUAAAUUCAAAUUCGAGGCUCAAGCGCGAUCAGGGGUAGCCUUUAUAUAAAUAGAAUGCGCAAGAAUUGACGGGUGCGAUCAUACCAGCACUAAUGCACCGGAUCCCAUCAGAACUCCGCAGUUAAGCGUGCUUGGGCGAGAGUAGUACUAGGAUGGGUGACCUCCUGGGAAGUCCUCGUGUUGCACCCCUCCAAUUUUAUAUCUCAUUAAAUUUUUUUUCUAUUUUUUUUAUAUCUCAUCGUUUAACUAAUUAGUUAUUUACGGAAUAAAUCACUCGAAACGUUAUUUGGUCGUAUUUAAAUUCAAAUUCGAGGCUCAAGCGCGAUCAGGGGUAGCCUUUAUAUAAAUAGAAUGCGCAAGAAUUGACGGGUGCGAUCAUACCAGCACUAAUGCACCGGAUCCCAUCAGAACUCCGCAGUUAAGCGUGCUUGGGCGAGAGUAGUACUAGGAUGGGUGACCUCCUGGGAAGUCCUCGUGUUGCACCCCUCCAAUUUUAUAUCUCAUUAAAUUUUUUUCUAUUUUUUUUAUAUCUCAUCGUUUAACUAAUUAGUUAUUUACGGAAUAAAUCACUCGAAACGUUAUUUGGUCGUAUUUAAAUUCAAAUUCGAGGCUCAAGCGCGAUCAGGGGUAGCCUUUAUAUAAAUAGAAUGCGCAAGAAUUGACGGGUGCGAUCAUACCAGCACUAAUGCACCGGAUCCCAUCAGAACUCCGCAGUUAAGCGUGCUUGGGCGAGAGUAGUACUAGGAUGGGUGACCUCCUGGGAAGUCCUCGUGUUGCACCCCUCCAAUUUUAUAUCUCAUUAAAUUUUUUUCUAUUUUUUUUAUAUCUCAUCGUUUAACUAAUUAGUUAUUUACGGAAUAAAUCACUCGAAACGUUAUUUGGUCGUAUUUAAAUUCAAAUUCGAGGCUCAAGCGCGAUCAGGGGUAGCCUUUAUAUAAAUAGAAUGCGCAAGAAUUGACGGGUGCGAUCAUACCAGCACUAAUGCACCGGAUCCCAUCAGAACUCCGCAGUUAAGCGUGCUUGGGCGAGAGUAGUACUAGGAUGGGUGACCUCCUGGGAAGUCCUCGUGUUGCACCCCUCCAAUUUUAUAUCUCAUUAAAUUUUUUUUCUAUUUUUUUUAUAUCUCAUCGUUUAACUAAUUAGUUAUUUACGGAAUAAAUCACUCGAAACGUUAUUUGGUCGUAUUUAAAUUCAAAUUCGAGGCUCAAGCGCGAUCAGGGGUAGCCUUUAUAUAAAUAGAAUGCGCAAGAAUUGACGGGUGCGAUCAUACCAGCACUAAUGCACCGGAUCCCAUCAGAACUCCGCAGUUAAGCGUGCUUGGGCGAGAGUAGUACUAGGAUGGGUGACCUCCUGGGAAGUCCUCGUGUUGCACCCCUCCAAUUUUAUAUCUCAUUAAAUUUUUUUUCUAUUUUUUUUAUAUCUCAUCGUUUAACUAAUUAGUUAUUUACGGAAUAAAUCACUCGAAACGUUAUUUGGUCGUAUUUAAAUUCAAAUUCGAGGCUCAAGCGCGAUCAGGGGUAGCCUUUAUAUAAAUAGAAUGCGCAAGAAUUGACGGGUGCGAUCAUACCAGCACUAAUGCACCGGAUCCCAUCAGAACUCCGCAGUUAAGCGUGCUUGGGCGAGAGUAGUACUAGGAUGGGUGACCUCCUGGGAAGUCCUCGUGUUGCACCCCUCCAAUUUUAUAUCUCAUUAAAUUUUUUUUCUAUUUUUUUUAUAUCUCAUCGUUUAACUAAUUAGUUAUUUACGGAAUAAAUCACUCGAAACGUUAUUUGGUCGUAUUUAAAUUCAAAUUCGAGGCUCAAGCGCGAUCAGGGGUAGCCUUUAUAUAAAUAGAAUGCGCAAGAAUUGACGGGUGCGAUCAUACCAGCACUAAUGCACCGGAUCCCAUCAGAACUCCGCAGUUAAGCGUGCUUGGGCGAGAGUAGUACUAGGAUGGGUGACCUCCUGGGAAGUCCUCGUGUUGCACCCCUCCAAUUUUAUAUCUCAUUAAAUUUUUUUCUAUUUUUUUAUAUCUCAUCGUUUAACUAAUUAGUUAUUUACGGAAUAAAUCACUCGAAACGUUAUUUGGUCGUAUUUAAAUUCAAAUUCGAGGCUCAAGCGCGAUCAGGGGUAGCCUUUAUAUAAAUAGAAUGCGCAAGAAUUGACGGGUGCGAUCAUACCAGCACUAAUGCACCGGAUCCCAUCAGAACUCCGCAGUUAAGCGUGCUUGGGCGAGAGUAGUACUAGGAUGGGUGACCUCCUGGGAAGUCCUCGUGUUGCACCCCUCCAAUUUUAUAUCUCAUUAAAUUUUUUUUCUAUUUUUUUUAUAUCUCAUCGUUUAACUAAUUAGUUAUUUACGGAAUAAAUCACUCGAAACGUUAUUUGGUCGUAUUUAAAUUCAAAUUCGAGGCUCAAGCGCGAUCAGGGGUAGCCUUUAUAUAAAUAGAAUGCGCAAGAAUUGACGGGUGCGAUCAUACCAGCACUAAUGCACCGGAUCCCAUCAGAACUCCGCAGUUAAGCGUGCUUGGGCGAGAGUAGUACUAGGAUGGGUGACCUCCUGGGAAGUCCUCGUGUUGCACCCCUCCAAUUUUAUAUCUCAUUAAAUUUUUUUUCUAUUUUUUUUAUAUCUCAUCGUUUAACUAAUUAGUUAUUUACGGAAUAAAUCACUCGAAACGUUAUUUGGUCGUAUUUAAAUUCAAAUUCGAGGCUCAAGCGCGAUCAGGGGUAGCCUUUAUAUAAAUAGAAUGCGCAAGAAUUGACGGGUGCGAUCAUAUCAGCACUAAUGCACCGGAUCCCAUCAGAACUCCGCAGUUAAGCGUGCUUGGGCGAGAGUAGUACUAGGAUGGGUGACCUCCUGGGAAGUCCUCGUGUUGCACCCCUCCAAUUUUAUAUCUCAUUAAAUUUUUUUCUAUUUUUUUUAUAUCUCAUCGUUUAACUAAUUAGUUAUUUACGGAAUAAAUCACUCGAAACGUUAUUUGGUCGUAUUUAAAUUCAAAUUCGAGGCUCAAGCGCGAUCAGGGGUAGCCUUUAUAUAAAUAGAAUGCGCAAGAAUUGACGGGUGCGAUCAUACCAGCACUAAUGCACCGGAUCCCAUCAGAACUCCGCAGUUAAGCGUGCUUGGGCGAGAGUAGUACUAGGAUGGGUGACCUCCUGGGAAGUCCUCGUGUUGCACCCCUCCAAUUUUAUAUCUCAUUAAAUUUUUUUUCUAUUUUUUUUAUAUCUCAUCGUUUAACUAAUUAGUUAUUUACGGAAUAAAUCACUCGAAACGUUAUUUGGUCGUAUUUAAAUUCAAAUUCGAGGCUCAAGCGCGAUCAGGGGUAGCCUUUAUAUAAAUAGAAUGCGCAAGAAUUGACGGGUGCGAUCAUACCAGCACUAAUGCACCGGAUCCCAUCAGAACUCCGCAGUUAAGCGUGCUUGGGCGAGAGUAGUACUAGGAUGGGUGACCUCCUGGGAAGUCCUCGUGUUGCACCCCUCCAAUUUUAUAUCUCAUUAAAUUUUUUUCUAUUUUUUUAUAUCUCAUCGUAUAACUAAUUAGUUAUUUACGGAAUAAAUCACUCGAAACGUUAUUUGGUCGUAUUUAAAUUCAAAUUCGAGGCUCAAGCGCGAUCAGGGGUAGCCUUUAUAUAAAUAGAAUGCGCAAGAAUUGACGGGUGCGAUCAUACCAGCACUAAUGCACCGGAUCCCAUCAGAACUCCGCAGUUAAGCGUGCUUGGGCGAGAGUAGUACUAGGAUGGGUGACCUCCUGGGAAGUCCUCGUGUUGCACCCCUCCAAUUUUAUAUCUCAUUAAAUUUUUUUCUAUUUUUUUAUAUCUCAUCGUUUAACUAAUUAGUUAUUUACGGAAUAAAUCACUCGAACGUUAUUUGGUCGUAUUUAAAUUCAAAUUCGAGGCUCAAGCGCGAUCAGGGGUAGCCUUUAUAUAAAUAGAAUGCGCAAGAAUUGACGGGUGCGAUCAUACCAGCACUAAUGCACCGGAUCCCAUCAGAACUCCGCAGUUAAGCGUGCUUGGGCGAGAGUAGUACUAGGAUGGGUGACCUCCUGGGAAGUCCUCGUGUUGCACCCCUCCAAUUUUAUAUCUCAUUAAAUUUUUUUCUAUUUUUUUUAUAUCUCAUCGUUUAACUAAUUAGUUAUUUACGGAAUAAAUCACUCGAAACAGUUAUUUGGUCGUAUUUAAAUUCAAAUUCGAGGCUCAAGCGCGAUCAGGGGUAGCCUUUAUAUAAAUAGAAUGCGCAAGAAUUGACGGGUGCGAUCAUACCAGCACUAAUGCACCGGAUCCCAUCAGAACUCCGCAGUUAAGCGUGCUUGGGCGAGAGUAGUACUAGGAUGGGUGACCUCCUGGGAAGUCCUCGUGUUGCACCCCUCCAAUUUUAUAUCUCAUUAAAUUUUUUUUCUAUUUUUUUUAUAUCUCAUCGUUUAACUAAUUAGUUAUUUACGGAAUAAAUCACUCGAAACGUUAUUUGGUCGUAUUUAAAUUCAAAUUCGAGGCUCAAGCGCGAUCAGGGGUAGCCUUUAUAUAAAUAGAAUGCGCAAGAAUUGACGGGUGCGAUCAUAUCAGCACUAAUGCACCGGAUCCCAUCAGAACUCCGCAGUUAAGCGUGCUUGGGCGAGAGUAGUACUAGGAUGGGUGACCUCCUGGGAAGUCCUCGUGUUGCACCCCUCCAAUUUUAUAUCUCAUUAAAUUUUUUUCUAUUUUUUUAUAUCUCAUCGUUUAACUAAUUAGUUAUUUACGGAAUAAAUCACUCGAAACGUUAUUUGGUCGUAUUUAAAUUCAAAUUCGAGGCUCAAGCGCGAUCAGGGGUAGCCUUUAUAUAAAUAGAAUGCGCAAGAAUUGACGGGUGCGAUCAUACCAGCACUAAUGCACCGGAUCCCAUCAGAACUCCGCAGUUAAGCGUGCUUGGGCGAGAGUAGUACUAGGAUGGGUGACCUCCUGGGAAGUCCUCGUGUUGCACCCCUCCAAUUUUAUAUCUCAUUAAAUUUUUUUCUAUUUUUUCUUAUAUCUCAUCGUUAACUAAUUAGUUAUUUACGGAAUAAAUCACUCGAAACGUUAUUUGGUCGUAUUUAAAUUCAAAUUCGAGGCUCAAGCGCGAUCAGGGGUAGCCUUUAUAUAAAUAGAAUGCGCAAGAAUUGACGGGUGCGAUCAUACCAGCACUAAUGCACCGGAUCCCAUCAGAACUCCGCAGUUAAGCGUGCUUGGGCGAGAGUAGUACUAGGAUGGGUGACCUCUGGGAAGUCCUCGUGUUGCACCCCUCCAAUUUUAUAUCUCAUUAAAUUUUUUUCUAUUUUUUUUAUAUCUCAUCGUUAACUAAUUAGUUAUUUACGGAAUAAAUCACUCGAAACGUUAUUUGGUCGUAUUUAAAUUCAAAUUCGAGGCUCAAGCGCGAUCAGGGGUAGCCUUUAUAUAAAUAGAAUGCGCAAGAAUUGACGGGUGCGAUCAUACCAGCACUAAUGCACCGGAUCCCAUCAGAACUCCGCAGUUAAGCGUGCUUGGGCGAGAGUAGUACUAGGAUGGGUGACCUCCUGGGAAGUCCUCGUGUUGCACCCCUCCAAUUUUAUAUCUCAUUAAAUUUUUUUCUAUUUUUUUUAUAUCUCAUCGUUUAACUAAUUAGUUAUUUACGGAAUAAAUCACUCGAAACGUUAUUUGGUCGUAUUUAAAUUCAAAUUCGAGGCUCAAGCGCGAUCAGGGGUAGCCUUUAUAUAAAUAGAAUGCGCAAGAAUUGACGGGUGCGAUCAUACCAGCACUAAUGCACCGGAUCCCAUCAGAACUCCGAAGUUAAGCGUGCUUGGGCGAGAGUAGUACUAGGAUGGGUGACCUCCUGGGAAGUCCUCGUGUUGCACCCCUCCAAUUUUAUAUCUCAUUAAAUUUUUUUUCUAUUUUUUUUAUAUCUCAUCGUUAAAACUAAUUAGUUAUUUACGGAAUAAAUCACUCGAAACGUUAUUUGGUCGUAUUUAAAUUCAAAUUCGAGGCUCAAGCGCGAUCAGGGGUAGCCUUUAUAUAAAUAGAAUGCGCAAGAAUUGACGGGUGCGAUCAUACCAGCACUAAUGCACCGGAUCCCAUCAGAACUCCGCAGUUAAGCGUGCUUGGGCGAGAGUAGUACUAGGAUGGGUGACCUCUGGGAAGUCCUCGUGUUGCACCCCUCCAAUUUUAUAUCUCAUUAAAUUUUUUUCUAUUUUUUUAUAUCUCAUCGUUUAACUAAUUAGUUAUUUACGGAAUAAAUCACUCGAAACGUUAUUUGUCGUAUUUAAAUUCCAAAUUCAAGGCUCAAGCGCGAUCAGGGGUAGCCUUUAUAUAAAUAGAAUGCGCAAGAAUUGAUGGGUGCGAUCAUACCAGCACUAAUGCCACCGGAUCCCAUCAGAACUCCGCAGUCAAGCGUGCUUGGGCGAGAGUAGUACUAGGAUGGGUGACCUCCUGGGAAGUCCUCGUGUUGCACCCC
rnacentral:lncRNA from 1 species